UCCAGUCCUCCGGAAGAGCAGGACGUGCCCUUAGCUGCUGAACCACCUCUCCAGCGCUUUAUUCUUGAUUUAAAGACUUUUAUCUUUAUUUUUGCAGAUUCAUUGCUCCUUAAGGAAAAAGACUUUCACAACUGAAAUGAAUAAAAAUCCACUUUUAUGAGCUCUAAGUGAAGGUGGAUCUGGAAACCGGGCUAGACUGUUGUUGUGUGGAAGUUUGCAGAGGCAACUGGUGACAGGGGCAACUUAAUAUGCAGGAGAAGAAGAGAGAGUUUCAGUCACAGAGGAGGCAAGAAGAUGAGGUGGGAUCUGAAUAUAAAUGCAAGGGAAAGCCAGACACAACAGCUGCACUUCCUGAGACCCCAGGGCCACAUGCAAUCAGGGCGUCAUUACAUAUUGCUGGACGGGGGUACUUAAGAGAGUGGCCAAGAUCUCAAGAGAGCGUCUCAUCGCCCCUGCUACACUUUCUGUGAAGGGAUGAUCACAGGCUCCAGCUCAGGGGUCUCUGAUGUAACACGGAAAGCAGCUUAGCCCUUUUUGUCAGAAUGCUGCUGGAAACCAAAAAUAAAGAAGCAAACAAGUAGGGCUGAGAUGUAGCUCAGUGGUGGGGUGUGUCCUUGGCAUGUAUGAAGCAG